GAUGAACGCUGGCGGCGUGCCUAAUACAUGCAAGUCGAGCGAACAGACGAGGAGCUUGCUCCUUCGACGUUAGCGGCGGACGGGUGAGUAACACGUAGGUAACCUACCUAUAAGACUGGGAUAACUUCGGGAAACCGGAGCUAAUACCGGAUAAUAUUUCGAACCGCAUGGUUCGAUAGUGAAAGAUGGCUUUGCUAUCACUUAUAGAUGGACCUGCGCCGUAUUAGCUAGUUGGUAAGGUAACGGCUUACCAAGGCAACGAUACGUAGCCGACCUGAGAGGGUGAUCGGCCACACUGGAACUGAGACACGGUCCAGACUCCUACGGGUGGCAGCAGUAGGGAAUCUUCCGCAAUGGGCGAAAGCCUGACGGAGCAACGCCGCGUGAGUGAUGAAGGUCUUCGGAUCGUAAAACUCUGUUAUUAGGGAAGAACAAACGUGUAAGUAACUGUGCACGUCUUGACGGUACCUAAUCAGAAAGCCACGGCUAACUACGUG
rnacentral:rRNA from 1 species